GAUGAACGCUGGCGGCGUGCCUAAUACAUGCCAGUCGAGCGAACGGACGAGAAGCUUGCUUUUCUGAUGUUAGCGGCGGACGGGUGAGUAACACGUGGAUAACCUACCUAUAAGACUGGGAUAACUUCGGGAAACCGGAGCUAAUACCGGAUAAUAUUUUGAACCGCAUGGUUCAAAAGUGAAAGACGGUCCUGCUGUCACUUAUAGAUGGAUCCGCGCUGCAUUAGCUAGUUGGUAAGGUAACGGCUUACCAAGGCAACGAUGCAUAGCCGACCUGAGAGGGUGAUCAGCCACACUGGAACUGAGACACGGUCCAGACUCCUACGGGAGGCAGCAGUAGGGAAUCUUCCGCAAUGGGCGAAAGCCUGACGGAGCAACGCCGCGUGAGUGAUGAAGGUCUUCGGAUCGUAAAACUCUGUUAUUAGGGAAGAACAUAUGUGUAAGUAACUGUGCACAUCUUGACGGUACCUAAUCAGAAAGCCACGGCUAACUACGUG
rnacentral:rRNA from 1 species